GCUGCGGCUUGUUGUGCGUUUGCGGCCCUGGCCACCGUGGUGCCGCUAACCUUCUGGCCGCAUGGCCCGGGGCCGCAGUUCGUUGCGGCCCACCUACCGCGGGGGCCUCCACUGCACGCCCACUGCUGUCCGGCCGCUGCGUCCCUGGGUUCCUCCGUCUCCUCCCUAUGGGGCUCUGAGCUGACCGGCCAGUUGCCAAAACAAAGGGGAUUUGGCGAUGGAGGCCUUGUUGGAAGGAAUACAAACUCGGGGGCAUAGUGGGGGAUUUUUGACAUCCUGUGAAGCAGAAUUGCAAGAGCUCAUGAAACAGAUCGAUAUAAUGGUGGCUCAUAAGAAAUCUGAGUGGGAGGGGCAGACACAUGCUCUGGAGACUUGUUUGGACAUGCGCGAUCGGGAGCUGAAGGCUCUGAGGAGUCAGCUGGACAUGAAGCACAAAGAGGUUGGAAUAUUGCAUCAGCAGAUAGAAGAACAAGAAAAAACCAAGCAAGAAAUGGCCCUGGAGUACAAGGAGGAGUUAAUGAAGCUGCAGGAGGAAUUAAGCAGACUGAAGAGAAGCUAUGAAAAACUGCAGAAAAAGCAACUAAGAGAAUUUAGAGGAAAUACCAAAAGUCUGCGAGAGGAUCGGUCUGAGAUUGAGAGGCUGACUGGAAAAAUAGAGGAAUUCCGACAGAAGUCUUUGGACUGGGAGAAGCAGCGUCUGAUUUAUCAGCAACAGGUAUCUUCUCUGGAAGCACAGAGGAAGGCUCUAGCUGAGCAGUCAGAGAUA
rnacentral:lncRNA from 1 species